rnacentral:rRNA from 1 species
GGCUCGAAGAACGAACGCUGGCGGCAUGCCUAACACAUGCAAGUCGAACGAGACCUUCGGGUCUAGUGGCGCACGGGUGCGUAACGCGUGGGAACCUGCCUUUAGGUUCGGAAUAACUCAGAGAAAUUUGAGCUAAUACCGGAUAAUGUCUUCGGACCAAAGAUUUAUCGCCUUUAGAUGGGCCCGCGUUGGAUUAGCUAGUUGGUGGGUAAAGGCCUACCAAGGCGACGAUCCAUAGCUGGUCUGAGAGGAUGAUCAGCCACACUGGGACUGAGACACGGCCCAGACUCCUACGGGAGGCAGCAGUGGGGAAUAUUGGACAAUGGGCGAAAGCCUGAUCCAGCAAUGCCGCGUGAGUGAUGAAGGCCUUAGGGUUGUAAAGCUCUUUUACCCGAGAUGAUAAUGACAGUAUCGGGAGAAUAAGCUCCGGCUAACUCCGUG